GGGACAGGCGGGAGGCGGGCUCUAGGGCGGGUGGCUGCCGGAGUCUGCGCUUCGGCGGCGGGAGGCUGGGGCGGCCUAGGCUGGUGGCAGGCAUCCCGGCCAGCGGCGCGGAGGCGGGCGGUGUCAGCGGCUCUGGUUGCGGGCGACACCUAGCCUUUCGGGCGCUCCGCCGCUCACCAACCGACACUGCCCGCUGCCGCCACCUGCGGCUCACCACCACCCGCUCUCGCCUCCCACCCACACUACCUCUGCACGCUGCUCCUGUCGCCACCGCCUCCCGCCGCUACUGACGCCACAGCUGGCCAUCGACCGCAGCCCGAUACUGCCCACCGCUGCCAACGCCUAUGCCCGCACCGCCCACAGUCACCGCCGCCGAAGCGCCCAGCCUGCAGCCUCCCGCAGCAGACGCCUUCCCCGCUCGCUCCCUCUCCGUCCCCCGACGCCGCCCGCCCCUGGGGCUGGCUACUUACUAUGAGCUGCUGCUGCGAGGAGGCGAGGCCUGACGACACCGCCACCCCCGAAGCCACCGCAAGCCAUCGACGCUGUCCCCCACCGGGCUGACGCCGCCGCUGCCCGCUCCCUCCGCCUCUCGCCGCCACCUCUUGCUGCACUUGUGCGCAUGGCAGCCCGGGACGUUCGCAGCCGCCGAAGCCGACGCCUCCCACGCUGGCAUCCCCCUGACACCGCCCCUGGCCACUGCCACCACCACGGAAGCCGUCCCCCUCUGCCUACCGACACCCACCCCGUCGCCUCUCGCCUCAACCUCUCGCCACCCACCUGUACACAGCAGCCUCAGAAGUCCGCCAACGCUUUAAAAUUGUGUCUAAAUUUCUACAUUCCUUGAAUUUCAUUUUGGUUCAAACAUUCGUUAUUUCUUUUUAUUAAGCUUUUCAUAAAGGCUUACUUCACCAUAAUACAUAUGAUUAUAAGGGAGUCAGUGUUCAUGGGCAUAUAUGCGUGUGUGUUUAGUUGAAGAAAAAUGUAUACAAAUAUGCAUACACAUCAACUUAUCCUUGAAUUUGUUCUUUGGACUCAACGUAUUUCUACAAAUUUCAUUUUUAGUUACAACACCUUUUAGAAGUUUAUUAUUUCACAUUCUUUUCAAAACUAAGGACACAGAGGUAGGGGGAUUGAAUUUUUAAUAAUUAUAUAACAGCAGUUAAAACACUACUUCUAGAGUUUUGCAACAAAUAGAACCAUGCAGUAUGCACUGUUAUUUUCUUAUGAAUUUUUAAAUUAUUCAAUUUGUACACCUUAAAUAGGUACAGUUUAUUGCAUCUAAAUAUUCCCUAAUAAAUUAGAAUUAAAAAAUCAUAGUGGUUCAUGAGUCAGGAUAGAAUCUGCAAUACAAGUAGCUGAAUCCUAAUGGGUGAGGCAAGCUCUUCUAACUGGGAAAAAGUACUUUCAUAUGUAAAUGUUAAAAUAGUGAAAUUAAAUUAAGGCAACUUAGAAUUGAUAAACUCACUGUUACCCCUGUGAACUACAAGAUUAUACUGCACAUACAGAAGUAAAAUGACACAAAUUGGUUCAAGACAGAAGAGUAAUACAACUGUACACAUCAUGGAUGAGCCAUAGUAACACAAUAUAGGGAUUUGCAGCUGAAUGUUGCUUCAUGAAGAGCCUGCUCUAUAAUCCCACUUGAUUGAAUGUAAAGACAUUAUAUUACACCAUUUUAUUUUAGGAUGGUUUGUUAUGCAGCAAUAGCUGAUACAAUAAACAACUCAAGGCAAUCGUAA